rnacentral:rRNA from 1 species
AUUGAACGCUGGCGGCAGGCCUAACACAUGCAAGUCGAGCGGAGCGGCGGACGGGUGAGUAAUGCCUAGGAAUCUGCCUGGCCGUGGGGGAUAACGUCAGGAAACGGGCGCUAAUACCGCAUCAUAUAAGAUGAGCCGAGGUCGGAUUAGCUAGUUGGUGGGGUAAAGGCCUACCAAGGCGACGAUCCGGAACUGGUCUGAGCGGAUGAUCAGGUACACUGGAACUGAGACACGGUCCAGCCUCCUACGGGAGGGAGCAGUGGGGAAUAUUGGGCAAUUGGCGCAAGCCUUGUCCAGCCAUGCCACGUGUGUGAAGAAGGUCUUCGGAUUUUUAAGCACUUUAAGUUAGGAGGCGUUACCAACAGAAUAAGCACCGGCUAACUUCGUGCCAGCCGCCGCGGUAAUUC